AUAACCCCCAACACCAAUAAUCGACCCACAACCCUUCGAUAAACCCAAAACCUCAUCACGAAGCCGAUUCGAUACAUCGUGAACGGAAAACGCCGCACAGCCAUUGAUUCCGGCAGUAAGCUUAUCGAUUCCACAGCGAGUGCAUCGAGGUAGGAAUUAAACGGUGAUUUACAGCAUUUAUCUUUCAAAAAAUCAUCCCACGUUCCUUCUUCGCAAUUUUGUGAGGUUGUUAGGCUUUUGAAUUCGAGAGGGCAUUGAGUUGAAGCGGAUUGAGACGACACCGUUUUGAUAAUCGAACCAGUUAACCAAAUAAACACGAUUAGGUUCCGAAAAUCCAUUAACGAUGACAGAUUUUCUAGAAAUCGAAGUAGGAGUUUAUCUGUUAUGAGUAAAUGAACAAAUUUCAAUGGAGUUUUAGGUUUUGUUUAUAUUGAAAAUGGUUGGGGUGUAGAAUGUUUGUUUGAUAUAAGGGGAAUCGGAUACAACGUCAAUUUAUGAUGUGUUUUCUUUUUUUAUUGUUAUUGUUGUCUUGUUGUUCUUGUUGCCAUUGGAGUGAGAAAUCUAGUUGUCAGCGGAAUUGAUGGUGAAGGCCGAAGGGAUAUCCUAAGUUUUAGUUUUGUGCUUUGGUGGGUUGUACGUUGUGUUGGUAUGGUUGUACUUAUUGGUAUUUUAUGUGGGUUGGAUAGAAGAUUCAGCAUGAAGGAUUUGCCCAUUUGGAGUUUAAGGAUAUAUUAUUUUGUAAUAUUCAAGGAAAUAUGUUGUUUUAUUUGGUUAUUAUCGUUUACUUUGUAAUUUAAUAUUAUAUAGGAUUGUAAACUAACUGAACGUUCAGCGAAAUGUUCGUGAACCGUUCGGCAGGAAGUUUGUUUAUUUAAUAAACGAACGAAUAUAAACACAAA